rnacentral:rRNA from 1 species
ACGGGUGAGUAACGCGUGGGUAAUCUACCUUUUAGUGGGGAAUAACGAUCCGAAAGGAUUGGUAAUACCGCAUGAGAUCCAUGACUGGAAUGUUGUGGAUGAAAGCCGGGGACCGCAAGGCCUGGCGCUAGAAGAGGAGCCCGCGUCUGAUUAGUUAGUUGGUGGGGUAAUGGCCUACCAAGACAUCGAUCAGUAGCCGGCCUGAGAGGGUGAUCGGCCACACUGGAACUGAGACACGGUCCAGACUCC